CCAGUCCUGAACUCGCCAUUUGUGUCCUCCUGCAGUUCCAGAAGGUUCAGUCGUGAACGCUAACUGACAGGACUCUAAACUAUGCCCUUCUCAUUUCUGCCCAAUUCGCCAUGGAUAGGUUUCUUGCUGGUUGAGCGCAGGAACACUCUGCAUAGUUGAGGCGACGAUGCAGACCAAAUAUUCUUCAAGUACAUACCCAUCCACUGCAUCGGCUUGGAGUUGGGUAUGCAUGAGGUCUCCUUUUACUUACUCCGUACUCGAAGGUGGAACAAAAUCUUGCUUGUUCAGUAUGGUCCAACCUAGCAUGUAUAUAUACCCAGUAGUUUGUGUUCUUGAUAUCUACAUGUAGCGUCAUGAGGAAUAAACCUGCUGAUUUCAUAUGUCGUCAUAUGGAAGUCACCAGACUUUUUUUAUCAACACUAAUUUCAGAUAGAUAGGUGCUGCUUACCAUACCUAAGAGUGUAGCAUGCUGUGAAGGGAUACUCCAAAGUAGAAAAUUAAAAGAUGUUAGUAAAAUCAGUAUGCAUCCCUAGUGAUGCUUUAUCUUGUUAUUUUUGUCUGAGUGUUGUGCUGUAGCAUCACUGACUAGUAUGUUUUUUUUCAAGGUCUAUACAAGUGCCAUCUAUGUCUGGCAACAUAAGCCUCUUGUCAUGUCAUGUAUCUAUUAUCACGUUAGAUGUUUUAUUAAGUGAAUGUUGUAUUUCUUGAAAGCGUCGAUGUACUGAUGCGAACACUGCUUGUGUACUUAUGACUAAUCAGUUUUCCCCUCUCUUAUAUAGGAGUUCCUAGGUCGAAGAAAUUCGAAGAAGCUCG
rnacentral:lncRNA from 1 species